GGACAGACCACUGGUGAAAAGUGAAUAUCACUUUAAAGCAAAUAACAGUUUUUCCCCCUAUUUGCUAGAACAUAUAUGAAUGCCUUAAAACAUGUUCACUCUAUUGCAAGUCACACUUCAUGAUUGAUAAUCAUGGGUGAGACUACUACUGCAGGAAAAUGACUCACCUUCGUUCACCUCCCUUUGAUAAGGAAAAUCUGUUUACAUUGAAAGGGGUGGAGUGGGUUAACCGGAUCAAAAACUCCACGUCUGAAGGA